rnacentral:rRNA from 1 species
UACAGAGGUCUCAAGCGUUGUUCGGAUUCAUUGGGCGUAAAGGGUGUGUAGGUGGCGCGCUAAGUCGGGUGUGAAAUUUCGGAGCUUAACUCCGAAGCUGCAUUCGAUACUGGCGUGCUUGAGGACUGGAGGGGAGACUGGAAUUCAUGGUGUAGCAGUGAAAUGCGUAGAGAUCAUGAGGAAGACCAGUGGCGAAGGCGGGUCUCUGGACAGUUCCUGACACUGAGACACGAAGGCCAGGGGAGCAAACGGG